CCUACGGGAGGCAGCAGUGAGGAAUAUUGGUCAAUGGGCGGAAGCCUGAACCAGCCAAGUCGCGUGAGGGAUUAAGGCCCUGCGGGUCGUAAACCUCUUUUGCCGGGGAGCAGAGGUCCGGACGUGUCCGGGCCGGGAGAGUACCCGGAGAAAAAGCAUCGGCUAACUCCGUGCCAGCAGCCGCGGUAAUACGGAGGAUGCGAGCGUUAUCCGGAUUUAUUGGGUUUAAAGGGUGCGUAGGCGGACUGGAAAGUCAGCGGUAAAAUCGAGAGGCUCAACCUCUUUCCGCCGUUGAAACUGUCGGUCUUGAGUGGGCGAGAAGUAUGCGGAAUGCGUGGUGUAGCGGUGAAAUGCAUAGAUAUCACGCAGAACUCCGAUUGCGAAGGCAGCAUACCGGCGCCCGACUGACGCUGAGGCACGAAAGCGUGGGUAUCGAACAGGAUUAGAUACCCCAGUAGUC
rnacentral:rRNA from 1 species